rnacentral:rRNA from 1 species
UACGUAGGGGGCAAGCGUUGUCCGGAAUUAUUGGGCGUAAAGAGCGCGUAGGCGGUCCGAUAAGUCGGCUGUGAAAGUCAGGGGCUCAACCCUUGAAAGCCGGCCGAUACUGUCGGACUAGAGUCCGGAAGAGGAGAGUGGAACUCCUGGUGUAGCGGUGAAAUGCGCAGAUAUCAGGAAGAACACCAAUGGCGAAAGCAGCUCUCUGGGACGGUACUGACGCUGAGACGCGAAAGCGUGGGGAGCGAACAGG